ensembl:lncRNA LINC01206 long intergenic non-protein coding RNA 1206
AGUUGUAACCGAUAGACUGGGCUGGGGCAACGCUGAUGAAAGGCAAAUUCCUGAGAGAAAAAUCACCCAGAUUUUUCAGUGCCUUCUCUAGCUUUCUAGAAGUUGUUAUGAGUGGACCUGACUACCUAGAGAGAGUAAUACAGAAGCUCCGUGCCGAUCACAGCUACCUCAUUACCAUGUUCCUCCAAGAUGGCCGCCCCUGAGGAGAAUCAUCAACUGGGCUUUACGGAAGAGAGAAAUCCAAACGACCAUCAGCAACAAAUGAAAGACUGAAGUUGAAAGGAAAUCCAUAAUUUUUGAAUGCUGGCCGAGGUCUGUGACCUCUGACUGAAUGGUUUCCAAGCUCCGAAUUCCUAGGUGAUGUUUUCAUUUGUUCACACUUGCUGAAGAAGGGAAAGGCUCUCUGAUUUACGUGUAAGCAAAACAAUCUAAACAGUAGGAUAAAAUCAUGUUGGAAUGGAGUUCUGUGUGGAUGCUCCUUUGAACCAAAUCAGUUCCACAACUGACCCUGUCAGGGACAUAUAAAUUUAGCAUUUUGGUGUGGAUACAGAAGACGAGAUUAACACAGAUCAAGUAACAUGGAAAUAAAAAAGGAGACAAUGCUGGAUGAUACAGGGGCAGCCAACAAGAGGAGAAAACCCAAGCAUUGGCAAAUGCCUCAUUAUCCAAAGAACACUCCUUAUACUCCUGAGAAUUUGUGGCAGUCCUGGGUUAAACGAUGAAGGCUUCUUAUUCUCAUGUAGGUCUCACAGCCUCUUGUCUCCCUGAGUUUUAAACACAUUGCAUUACCUUUCCAGAGGUAAAAGAAAGCCUGAGGAGGCUUUCCCCUCUGAGUUUUUCCGUGGAUUGCUGGACUCUGAGGCCCUCAUUCCUCUUGCAGGAGGUGUGGAGCAAAACUGUGUUGAAUGAACUGUAGAUGGAAAUUCUCUCCUUCCCACCGAGGAGCCGCUGCAGGUUGCAGACUCCCAGAAUGCCACACUGAGAAGAGGAGGGCUAAAAUUCUAGAGCAGAAUCCCUGGGGCAGCCCCUGCUGAAGAAGGGUGCAUCUGUUGAGAAUCUCAUCACCGCCCCCACCCCGCCCAGCCUUCAAUUUAGAGGAAUUUCUAGUUCACGCAGAAUGAAGACAAGAUCACAUAAGUGAGGACGACGCCCCAUUUACAAGUGUGAUUUGGAAGACUGAAGUGGAAACCUUGGGAAGGGGCCUCAGAGUAUGUCAGCUGGGGUCAGACGGGAACAGGAGUCUGGCUCAACACACAUUUAUUGCACUCCUGUUUCAUGCCAAGAAAUGUACCAAAAUCUGGGACUGUGUAACACAGCAAAGGAAAAGACUCAUCUCCAGGAAGCCCCCUUGUCUAGGAAGAGAAAUUGAAUAUCAGCAUAAGGUGGUGAAAAGCUGUGAAGGAGAUGAGUGCCAGGAGUCCAUGGAGGAAGGAUUCUAGCCUGGACAGGUGAUUGUGGUGAAUAGUCAUGAGAAUCUGGGAACUGGCUCCUGCUCUGUCUAUCUUGGAGAUGCAUCUUUUGUGAGAAGCCAGGGCAAGAAUAGGGAGGCUUAGGCAAUGGGAAGUUUCUGAGUAGAUAAAGCAGAUGGCAGAGCAAAGGGACAGAGCCUGGCGAGAGGCUACUCCCUGUAGCAACCUGCCUAAGAGUGAGAGGAAAGCAAGGCAUGGCUAUGAGCACGUGUAGUCUCAGCUACUUGGGAAGCUGAGGCUGGGGGAUCACUUGAGCCCAGGAGUUCAAGACCAGCCUAGGCAACAUAGUGAGACCAUGUCUCUUUAAAAAAAAAAAAAAAAAGAAAAA